AAUAAAGUCAUUUUUCAAUUUUUAGAUACAAUGUUUUGACUCUUCAUCUUAUUUGAAAUUUUUUUACGAUUAAUAUUUUUAUUGUUACUGGAUGAUAGAAUAUGAGUAGUACUUUAUGGGUGAUUAAUUUUUUAAAUUUUUGACUAAAUUUUAAAAUAAGACGAAUGGUAAGGCAUUGGGCACAGAAAUU
rnacentral:pre_miRNA from 1 species